GAGUUUGAUCCUGGCUCAGGACGAACGCUGGCGGCGUGCCUAAUACAUGCAAGUAGAACGCUGACUACUUUAGCUUGCUAGAGUAGAAGGAGUUGCGAACGGGUGAGUAACGCGUAGGUAACCUGCCUACUAGCGGGGGAUAACUAUUGGAAACGAUAGCUAAUACCGCAUAACAGUGUUUAACACAUGUUAGAUGCUUGAAAGAUGCAAUUGCAUCACUAGUAGAUGGACCUGCGUUGUAUUAGCUAGUUGGUGGGGUAACGGCCCACCAAGGCGACGAUACAUAGCCGACCUGAGAGGGUGAUCGGCCACACUGGGACUGAGACACGGCCCAGACUCCUACGGGAGGCAGCAGUAGGGAAUCUUCGGCAAUGGGGGCAACCCUGACCGAGCAACGCCGCGUGAGUGAAGAAGGUUUUCGGAUCGUAAAGCUCUGUUGUAAGAGAAGAACGUGUGUGAGAGUGGAAAGUUCACACAGUGACGGUAACUUACCAGAAAGGGACGGCUAACUACGUGCCAGCAGCCGCGGUAAUACGUAGGUCCCGUGCGUUGUC
rnacentral:rRNA from 1 species